CCUACGGGAGGCAGCAGUGAGGAAUAUUGGUCAAUGGGCGCGAGCCUGAACCAGCCAAGUCGCGUGAGGGAAGACGGUCCUAUGGAUUGUAAACCUCUUUUGUCGGGGAGCAAAAGACGCCACGCGUGGCGUUCCGAGAGUACCCGAAGAAAAAGCAUCGGCUAACUCCGUGCCAGCAGCCGCGGUAAUACGGAGGAUGCGAGCGUUAUCCGGAUUUAUUGGGUUUAAAGGGUGCGCAGGCGGAAGAUCAGGUCAGCGGUAAAAUUGAGAGGCUCAACCUCUUCGAGCCGUUGAAACUGGUUUUCUGGAGUGAGUGAGAGGUAGGCGGAAUGCGUGGUGUAGCGGUGAAAUGCAUAGAUAUCACGCAGAACUCCGAUUGCGAAGGCAGCAUACCGGCGCUCAACUGACGCUCAUGCACGAAAGUGUGGGUAUCGAACAGGAUUAGAUACCCUUGUAGUC
rnacentral:rRNA from 1 species